AGAGUUUGAUCCUGGCUCAGGAUGAACGCUAGCGGCAGGCUUAAUACAUGCAAGUCGUGGGGCAGCAUGUCCCGCAGCAAUGCGGGAUGAUGGCGACCGGCAAACGGGUGCGGAACACGUACACAACCUUCCUUUUAGUGGGGAAUAGCCCGGGGAAACCCGGAUUAAUACCCCGUAACAUAAUGAGGUGGCAUCACUUUAUUAUUAUAGCAGCAAUGCGCUUUAAGAUGGGUGUGCGACUGAUUAGGCAGUUGGCGGGGUAACGGCCCACCAAACCUACGAUCAGUAACUGGUGUGAGAGCACGACCAGUCACACGGGCACUGAGACACGGGCCCGACUCCUACGGGAGGCAGCAGUAAGGAAUAUUGGUCAAUGGACGCAAGUCUGAACCAGCCAUGCCGCGUGGAGGAUGAAGGUCCUCUGGAUUGUAAACUUCUUUUAUCUGGGAAGAAAUCCACGAAUUCUUUUGUGGUUGACGGUACCAGAUGAAUAAGCACCGGCUAACUCCGUGCCAGCAGCCGCGGUAAUACGGAGGGUGCAAGCGUUAUCCGGAUUCACUGGGUUUAAAGGGUGCGUAGGUGGGCAGGUAAGUCAGUGGUGAAAUCUCCGGGCUUAACUCGGAAACUGCCAUUGAUACUAUCUGUCUUGAAUACCGUGGAGGUCAGCGGAAUAUGUCAUGUAGCGGUGAAAUGCUUAGAUAUGACAUAGAACACCAAUUGCGAAGGCAGCUGGCUACACGAAUAUUGACACUGAUGCACGAAAGCGUGGGGAUCAAACAGGAUUAGAUACCCUAGUAGUCC
rnacentral:rRNA from 1 species